rnacentral:miRNA from 1 species
UCUCCAGACUGGACCAGGACC